rnacentral:misc_RNA from 1 species
GAUGAAGAACGUAGCGAAAUGCGAUAAGUAAUGUGAAUUGCAGAAUUCAGUGAAUCAUCGAAUCUUUGAACGCACAUUGCGCCCGCCAGUAUUCUGGCGGGCAUGCCUGUUCGAGCGUCAUUACAACCCUCAGGCCCCCGGCCUGGCGUUGGGGAUCGGCGGAGCCCCCCGUGGGCACACGCCGUCCCCCAAAUGCAGUGGUGGUCCCGCCGCAGCUUCCAUCGCGUAGUAGCUAACACCUCGCGACUGGAGAGCGGCGCGGCCACGCCGUAAAACACCCAACUCUUCUGAAGUUGACCUCGAAUCAGGUAGGAAUACCCGCUGAACUUAAGCAUAUCAAUAAGCGGAGG